rnacentral:rRNA from 1 species
GACGAACGCUGGCGGCGGGCUUAACACAUGCAAGUCGAACGGAAAGGCCCUGCUGUUGUGGGGUGCUCGAUUGGCGAACGGGUGAGUAACUCGUGAGUAACCUGCCCUUGACUUUGGGAUAUCUUCAGGAAACUGGGGCUAAUACCGGAUAGGAGCUCCUGCUGCAUGGUGGGGGUGGGAAAGUUUCGGCGGUUGGGGAUGGACUCGCGGCUUAUCAGCUUGUUGGUGGGGUAGUGGCUUACCAAGGCAUUGAAGGGUAGCCGGCCUGAGAGGGUGACCGGCCACAUUGGAACGGAGAUACGGCCCAGACUCCUACGGGAGGCAGCGGUGGGGAAUAUUGCACAAUGGGCGGAAGCCUGAUGCAGCAACGCCGCGUGCGGGAUGACGGGCUUCGGGUUGUAAACCGCUUUCGCCUGUGACGAAGCGUGAGUGACGGUAAUGGGUAAAGAAGCACCGGCUAACUACGUG